AAUAGAUACCCAGGUAGUCCACGCCGUAAACGAUGAGUGCUAAGUGUUAGAGGGGAUUGACCCUUUAGUGCUGCAGCUAACGCAUUAAGCACUCCGCCUGGGGAGUACGGCCGCAAGGCUGAAACUCAAAGGAAUUGACGGGGGGCCCGCACAAGCGGUGGAGCAUGUGGUUUAAUUCGAAGCAACGCGAAGAACCUUACCAGGUCUUGACAUCCCGCUGACCGGUCUGGAGACAGGCCUUUCCCUUAUGGGACAGCGGUGACAGGUGGUGCAUGGUUGUCGUCAGCUCGUGUCGUGAGAUGUUGGGUUAAGUCCCGCAACGAGCGCAACCCUGUCCUUAGUUGUCAGCAUUGAGUUGGGCACUCUAAGGAGACUGCCGGCUAGGAAGUCGGAGGAAGGUGGGGAUGACGUCAAAUCAUCAUGCCCCUUAUGACCUGGGCUACACACGUGCUACAAUGGGCGGUACAAAGGGCAGCGAACCCGCGAGGGGGAGCGAAUCCCGAAAAACGCCGCUCUCAGUUCGGAUUGC
rnacentral:rRNA from 1 species